GGGCGCAUAGCUCAGCUGGGAGAGCAUCUGCCUUACAAGCAGGGGGUCACAGGUUCGAGCCUGUUGUGCCCACCA
rnacentral:tRNA from 1 species